rnacentral:tRNA from 1 species
GUGCCUGUGGCUGAAAGGAGUAGGGCGCUGGCCCCAUAUGCCAGAGGUGGUGGGUUCAAACCCACUGGACCCA